GUGCAUUUUGGCGUGAACUUUUGGUUCAACUUUUUUGAUCAACUGUUGUUUUUCCGUCUACCGCCACUAGAGGGUUCUACUUCGUCAGUUGACAUAUCCGUUUUGGCGUCAACCCAAAUUUUCAGUUGAACUGAAAAAGUUGAAUUUCGUCGACGGUGGUCUGGAGCACCGUUGAGCUCUAGUUGAACCAAUUCAUUUGUCUUUUGCAAACCUGCUGUAUUUUAUGUGAUUUAAAUGAAUAAAAAUGGCAAAUGGUGUGAGGGACAACGAAUCAGAUAAAUUCGUGAACAACAAAGAAUGUUGGAAUGGAAAAAAAACUGCAAGUCAACUUACCAUUGAUAGUGAAGCAACUGAAGUUUUUUUUAGUUUAUUGGAGGAUAAUUGGGAGUCCUUGAGCGACUUAAAGACUAGUAAGAAGCUAAUAUGGGAUCUCAUUGCAAAUGGGUUGGAGGAAUCCGGUUUUACUCUUCGAGGUACAAAUCCAGGCCAAACUUGCAAGAAUAAAUGGGAAAAUCUAAGGAAAGACUACAGAUCAUAUCUUUCGAAAUUUCAACAAACUGGAAGCAG